AUUGAACGCUGGCGGCAGGCCUAACACAUGCAAGUCGAGCGGAUGAAGGGAGCUUGCUCCUGGAUUCAGCGGCGGACGGGUGAGUAAUGCCUAGGAAUCUGCCUGGUAGUGGGGGAUAACGUCCGGAAACGGGCGCUAAUACCGCAUACGUCCUGAGGGAGAAAGUGGGGGAUCUUCGGACCUCACGCUAUCUGAUGAGCCUAGGUCGGAUUAGCUAGUUGGUGGGGUAAAGGCCUACCAAGGCGACGAUCCGUAACUGGUCUGAGAGGAUGAUCAGUCACACUGGAACUGAGACACGGUCCAGACCCCUACGGGAGGCAGCAGUGGGGAAUAUUGGACAAUGGGCGAAAGCCUGAUCCAGCCAUGCCGCGUGUGUGAAGAAGGUCUUCGGAUUGUAAAGCACUUUAAGUUGGGAGGAAGGGCAGUAAGUUAAUACCUUGCUGUUUUGACGUUACCAACAGAAUAAGCACCGGCUAACUUCGUG
rnacentral:rRNA from 1 species